ACAUUACAUUUAACACAUGGGUAUAAAUAAGACCUGCUCAUAGAUUUCAACAGCCAAUUUCGAUAUCGCCUUUCGUUGCAUUCCGAAGACGAGAAAUUAAACGACACUCAAGAAAGAUACAAGAGAUGGAGAUUUUGAAGACAGCACUAUUUCUUCUUUUGAUUGUCACAAUGGUGACUUCAAAACCAUUUGGAUGGCGUCGUCCCCCAUUCAAACAUCACGGAGGCCACCAUGGAGGCAUUCGUGGAGGCUUUCAUAAAGGCCAUCGUGGAGGUCAUAGCUCAGAUUCCUCCGAAUCGUCCCAAUCCUCUGAUUCUUCUGAGGAGACCAGAAUCAUUCCGACAAAGGCUCCGCCAACCCCAAAAAGAACAACAGCCGCACCAAUCCCUACUAAGACCCCUGCUGUCAAGACCACUGCUGCUGUCAAAACCACCCGUGCUGUCACAACCACCCCUGCUGUCAAGACCACUGCUGCUGUCAAAACCACCCGUGCUGUCACAACCACCCCUGCUGUCAAGACCACUGCUGCUGUCACAACCACCCGUGCUGUCACAACCACCCCUGCUGUCAAGACCACUGCUGCUGUCACAACCACCCCUGCUGUCAAGACCACUGCUGCUGUCACUUCCAGGAGAGGGGAUAGCAGUAUUAUUUUAACGACUUCUAAGUAGUUUUGAUAUACCAUGCUGGUAAACACGGCUUGACAUUGAUUCUUGUCUUACAUCUGUCAUUUAUGUGUUUCUGAUCAUUGAAACAAUACCUGAGCGAUGUCUUUAGCUGUAAUAGGCCUGCAAAAAAAAUUAAAUGUCUGCAAAAUUUAAGUACAAAUGUGGUUGAAUCCAGUCCAUAAUCAUUUGUUUAUUUUAUCACAUUUAAUGUCUUUGCCUGUUUAAAAUAUACUUUAAAUUUUCUGACCAAAAAACAUAAAGCUAUAGGAGAAUGUCGUUUUGGCAUUUCAGGCUGUGGGCCCUUAAGAGCUAUAUUUUUAAAGACUUGUUAGUCCAGCUGAACACAUCUGAUGGGUUACUAUAAUAGAUGUCAAUCUGUCGAUGCAGAAAAUUAAUGUGCAAAUGUGCUUCUUUGAUCUACGUAGUGUUUUGUGUUAGGAUCCACCACUGAAACUGUCCUUCUUGGGCACUGUCAUUUUUGCCUUCUGUAUUUGCUUGUUAAAUUAAAGUCAAAUUAAAGUCUCUUACAGGCACCUACA